CUGAGCCUCUGAGACUGAAGUCCUCUCUUCUUCCACAGAACUAGUACAGCAUGUGCUGUGCAAAGGCAGGUCUCCUCUGACAGUGCCCUGCGGGAGUGCUUCAGGACUAUCCUGGGAAGACUGUCUGUCUCUGCGCCCUUUCCAUCCUUCGCCUUC
rnacentral:sRNA from 1 species